UAAACGACUCUCGGCAACGGAUAUCUCGGCUCACGCAUCGAUGAAGAACGUAGCAAAAUGCGAUACUUGGUGGGAAUUGCAGAAUCCCGUGAACCAUCGAGUUUUUGAACGCAAGUUGCGCCCGAAGCCUUUUGGCCGAGGGCACGUCUGCCUGGGCGUCACAC
rnacentral:rRNA from 1 species